CAUAAUCGGCCCUUACCUUAUCUAUAGAUGCAGAUGGCUAUUUCAACUUCUGGUUUUGACUUCAUUCUCUGUACAGGCCAAUGAUUAUGACGGUGACUCUGAUCUAACCAUAUAUAGUGCAUUUGGAAAGUAUUCAUACCCCUUCCUUUUUCCACAUUUUGUUUUGUUACAGCCUUGUUAUAAAAUUGAUUAAAUAAAUAUUUUUCCUGAUCGAGCUACACACAAUACUCCGUAAUGAGAAAGAGAAAAACAGGUUUAAAGAAUGUUUUGCAAAUGUAUUCAGAUUUAAAAACAGAAAGACCUUGUUUACAUAAGUAUUCAGACCCUUUACUAUGAGACUAGAAAUUGAGCUCAGGUUCAUCCUGUUUCCAUUGAUCAUCCUUGAGAUGUUUCUACAACUUGAUUGGAGUCCACCUGUGGUAAAUUCAAUUGAUUGAACAUGAUUUGGAAAGGCACACACCUGUCUAUGUAAAGUCCCACAGAGAAAAAAACAAGCCAUGAGGUUGAAGGAAGUGUCUGGGUCUGAAUACUUUCCCGAAUGCGCUGUAUCUACCUCAAUUACCUGGUACCCCGUGUACAUAGCCAAGUUAUCAUGACUCAUUGUGUAUUUGUUCCUUGUGCUUUUAUUUAUAUAUUAUUUAUAUUUUGUCUCUGCAUUGUUGGGAAGGACCUGCAAGCAUUUCACUGUUGUUUAUGGGCUGUAGACGGGUGGAUCUUAGAGAAUGGAGGAAGGACCUCAGGAUGUUGUUCUCCCAUCUGUACAGGUGGUGGCAGCACUGAGACGUGGUGAAGAGUCAACACUGGUGUACCUUGUGGAAAGAGAUCAUGUUUGAAUGAACAUUAUUUGAAACAAAAUAGUAUUUGAAAUACCUAAUAUUUGAAGACUUCAUUCAGCAGACACCACACAUGAUGAGUGGUCAAAUGUUAUUCAUAAAAACUAGAUACAGUUCCUUCCAGAAGGUAUUCACACACCUUGACUACAGCCUGAAUUUAAAAUGCAUU
rnacentral:lncRNA from 1 species